CCUACGGGAGGCUGCAGUGGGGAAUAUUGGACAAUGGGCGAAAGCCUGAUCCAGCCAUGCCGCGUGUGUGAAGAAGGUCUUCGGAUUGUAAAGCACUUUAAGUUGGGAGGAAGGGCAGUCAGCUAAUACCUGGUUGUUUUGACGUUACCAACAGAAUAAGCACCGGCUAACUUCGUGCCAGCAGCCGCGGUAAUACGAAGGGUGCAAGCGUUAAUCGGAAUUACUGGGCGUAAAGCGCGCGUAGGUGGUUCAGCAAGUUGGAGGUGAAAGCCCCGGGCUCAACCUGGGAACUGCCUCCAAAACUACUGGGCUAGAGUAUGGUAGAGGGUGGUGGAAUUUCCUGUGUAGCGGUGAAAUGCGUAGAUAUAGGAAGGAACACCAGUGGCGAAGGCGACCACCUGGACUGAUACUGACACUGAGGUGCGAAAGCGUGGGGAGCA
rnacentral:rRNA from 1 species